rnacentral:tRNA from 1 species
GGGAAGGUAGCUCAGUGGUAGAGCGCUUGCCUUGCAUGCAUAAGGCCCUGGGUUCAAUUCCUCAGCACCA